CCAGUACCGUGAGGGAAAGGCGAAAAGAACCCCGGGAGGGGAGUGAAAUAGAUCCUGAAACCGCAUGCAUACAAACAGUCGGAGCCUCUUUAUGGGGUGACGGCGUACCUUUUGUAUAAUGGGUCAGCGACUUACGUUCAGUAGCAAGCUUAACCGUAUAGGGCAGGCGUAGCGAAAGCGAGUCCGAAUAGGGCGUUCAGUUGCUGGGCGUAGACCCGAAACCAGGUGAUCUAUCCAUGGCCAGGAUGAAGGUGCGGUAACACGUACUGGAGGUCCGAACCCACUAACGUUGAAAAGUUAGGGGAUGAGCUGUGGAUAGGGGUGAAAGGCUAAACAAACCUGGAAAUAGCUGGUUCUCUCCGAAAACUAUUUAGGUAGUGCCUCGUGUCUCACCUUCGGGGGUAGAGCACUGUCAUGGUUGGGGGGUCUAUUGCAGAUUACCCCGCCAUAGCAAACUCCGAAUACCGAAGAGUGCAAUCACGGGAGACAGACAUCGGGUGCUAACGUCCGGUGUCAAGAGGGAAACAACCCAGACCGCCAGCUAAGGUCCCCAAAUAUGGCUAAGUGGGAAACGAAGUGGGAAGGCUAAAACAGUCAGGAGGUUGGCUUAGAAGCAGCCACCCUUUAAAGAAAGCGUAAUAGCUCACUGAUCGAGUCGUCCUGCGCGGAAGAUGUAACGGGGCUAAGCCAUAUACCGAAGCUGCGGAUGCGAGCUUGCUCGCAUGGUAGGAGAGCGUUCCGUAAGCCUGCGAAGGUGCCUUGUAAAGGGUGCUGGAGGUAUCGGAAGUGCGAAUGCUGACAUGAGUAGCGAUAAAGGGGGUGAAAGGCCCCCUCGCCGUAAGCCCAAGGUUUCCUACGCAACGUUCAUCGGCGUAGGGUGAGUCGGCCCCUAAGGCGAGGCAGAAAUGCGUAGCUGAUGGGAAGCAGGUCAAUAUUCCUGCACCGUCGUUAGAUGCGAUGGGGGGACUGAUCGCGGAAGG
rnacentral:rRNA from 1 species